GGUUGCUUCAUAGUGUUGCAGUGUGCCUCAGGAAGCACAGUAAGACUCUUUGAGGCAUUGGUGCUUGGAAUAGAUGCUUGAAUCAUCUUCUGACACUUGCAGAAUCCCAUAUUGAAUCAGGCAUCCUUGCAAAAUUCAUUGAAGCUGUGCAGAGCUGUCCUGUAGGGAACACACGUGCAGCUCUGAAGCUUGUCUGUGACCUCUAUGCCCUGGAUCGAAUUUGGAAAGAUAUUGGGACCUACCGUAAUGUGGAUUAUGUGGCCCCCAAUAAAGCUAAGGCUAUCCACAAGCUGACAGAAUAUCUAAGUUUUAGAAAUAUUGCCAGGGAACUUGUAGAUGGUUUUGAUCUUCCAGAUUAUGUCACAAGGGCCCCCAUUGCCAUGCAAUCAGAACCAUAUGCUCAGUACACACAAUAUGUUGGGUUUUGACUUCAAUAUUUGUGAAGCAGGUUAAGAUGGACAUGUUAGGAACAAGCCCUAAUGUGGGAAUAUUGGAAUGAUGGGUGAUGCCCACUGAUUUCUCUGGUUUGGAAAAUUAGUGAAUUCAAAGCUUCUGUAAGAUCAGCAGUGGUAUGCCCAGGAUUGGAGAA